GAUGAACGCUGGCGGCGUGCCUAAUACAUGCAAGUCGAGCGAACAGACGAGGAGCUUGCUCCUCUGACGUUCGCGGCGGACGGGUGAGUAACACGUGGAUAACCUCCCUAUAAGACUGGGAUAACUUCAGGAACCCGGAGCUAACACCGGAUAAUAUAUUGAACCGCAUGGUUCAAUAGUGAAAGACGGUUUUGCUGUCACUUAUAGAUGGAUCCGCGCCGCAUUAGCUAUUUGGUAAGGUAACGGCUUACCAAGGCAACGAUGCGUAGCCGACCUGAGAGGGGGAUCGGCCACACGGGAACUGAGACACGGUCAAGACUCCUACGGGAGGCACCAGUAGGGAAUCUUCCGCAAUGGGGGAAAGCCUGACGGAGCAACGCGGCGUGAGUGAUGAAAGUCUUCGGAUCGUAACACUCUGUUAUUAGGGAAGAACAAAUGUGGAAGUAACUAUGCACGUCUUGACGGUACCGAAUCAGAAAGCCACGGCUAACUACGUG
rnacentral:rRNA from 1 species